GUUACGAGAAUAAAACCUAAGUCAAAAUUGUUUGUUUUUCAAAGCUCUGUCCAAACAUGCCCAAUGGGGCCCGUGUCGCCAUUGGGGUUUUCGGGCUUGCCCCCGGUUGCACCUGCUUUCGGUCGGUCUGGGGAGGUGGGGCCGAUGCCGAUGAUUGGUUCGGGUGCCUAUUGGUAGUCGAAUUUUUCGCCCCGACGCCCUGUGGUGUCCCAGUUGUGGGAGGGGCGGCUGGCGCGGGUGCUCAGAAAGACCCGGUAUGUAAUAAGAAAUUGAUCCAAUUGUGAAAUAUAUUACAAAAUACAGUAUUUUAUUUCA
rnacentral:lncRNA from 1 species